rfam:Ipomoea nil DNA, scaffold: scaffold2280, cultivar: Tokyo-kokei standard.
GCCCGUCUAGCUUAGUUGGUAGAGCGCACGGCUUUUAAACUUGUGGUUGUGGGUUCGAGCCCCACGGUGGGUG